GUCGGAACUGGACCUUGAUGAAGGAAAUACUUUCUGACUCAUUGGAAUUUGUUAUAGUCAAAUUUGCCUAUGUGAUAACUUAGGUCUUCACGAUGGCCCAGAGUAAGACGACGCAGGAGGACCCUUCUAGUCAUUUAAUUAUUGCUUGACCAGAACUGUGCCUUGUAAGGUGUUUCCAGACCUAAGAAUAACAGGAACAUGGAGGAGUGGCAUCUCCAGUGUAGCCACCCACCAAAGCCUCAUCCUGAACACUAUGGCCUAGUGGGUCACUUACAGGGAUGUAGCUGGCAUUGAUGUAGUCAGAGCAAGGAUCAUCAUCUACAUUGGAGAGCUUCACUCGCGUGGCAUCAUCUGGAAGGAGAGAUUUGCUGCUGAGUCUUGGAGUGACUUUUCUACAGUUUAUGUGAUGUGUGUGAUGUGCCUUAGCUCUGAUCCCCACAACAGCCACAGAUGGGAAGUGAUCUUAUCUCCAUUUUGCAGAUGAGGCUCAGGCAGGAUAACUAACUUGCCCCAUGUUGCAUAGGUGGCCUAUAACCAGUCAGACACAGGAGACAACAUGAAGCCCCAUCUGUGCUUCCCUUUCUGACAUUACCACAUUUGCCUGAUGGAGUGGCCAGCUCCCUUUCACUGCUGGAAUGAAUACAAUCCAGAAAACCUACCUUCUAUUGCUUUACCUAAUGGGGUAAGGAAAUUUAAGUAGAAAUUGCUAACCGAAGACUUUGCUAAGCAAACCCAGGUCUGCUUGAUGUCAGAGCCCUUGCUGUUAACCCCAUUUACUGCUUA
rnacentral:lncRNA from 1 species